UGGCUCUCGCAUCGAUGAAGAACGCAGCAAAAUGCGAUAAGUAAUGUGAAUUGCAGAAUUCAGUGAAUCAUCGAAUCUUUGAACGCACCUUGCACUCCUUGGUAUUCCGAGGAGUAUGCCUGUUUGAGUGUCAUGAAAUUAUCAAUUUCAUAGUUUUGUAAACUAAACUAUUGCUAUGAAGUUUGGACUUGGAGGUUGCUGGCUCUUUUAGUAGUCGGCUCUUCUGAAAUGUAUUAGCUGCUUGUCUGUAAGUUGGCUCAGAGUGUGAUAAGUAUCUACACUUGGUGGCUGCUUACUUGGACGUGGCUCCUAAUAGUCCUUCUGGACACUUUUUUUAAGAUCUGACCUCAAAUCAGGUAGGACUACCCGCUGA
rnacentral:misc_RNA from 1 species